GGAAUAUUGGACAAUGGGCGAAAGCCUGAUCUAGCCAUGCCGCGUGAGUGACGACGGCCUUAGGGUCGUAAAGCUCUUUCGCCAGGGAUGAUAAUGACAGUACCUGGUAAAGAAACCCCGGCUAACUCCGUGCCAGCAGCCGCGGUAAUACGGAGGGGGCUAGCGUUGUUCGGAAUUACUGGGCGUAAAGCGCACGUAGGCGGACUAGAAAGUCAGAGGUGAAAUCCCAGGGCUCAACCUUGGAACUGCCUUUGAAACUCCUAGUCUAGAGUUCGAGAGAGGUGAGUGGAAUUCCGAGUGUAGAGGUGAAAUUCGUAGAUAUUCGGAGGAACACCAGUGGCGAAGGCGGCUCACUGGCUCGAUACUGACGCUGAGGUGCGAAAGCGUGGGGAGCAAAC
rnacentral:rRNA from 1 species